rnacentral:rRNA from 1 species
AAUAUUGCACAAUGGGGGAAACCCUGAUGCAGCGACUCCGCGUGAGCGAAGAAGGACUUCGGGUCGUAAAGCUCUGUCCUAAGGGACGAAACCGACGGUACCUUAGGAGGAAGCCCCGGCUAACUACGUGCAAGCACCCGCGGUAAUACGUAGGGGGCGAGCGCUAGGCGGAAUUACUGGGCGUAAAGGGUGCGUAGGCGGCCUUUUAAGUCAGAUGUGAAAGGCUACGGCUUAACCGUAGUUAGCAUUUGAAACUAAAAGGCUUGAGUGCAGGAGAGGAGAGUGGAAUUCCUAGUGUAGCGGUGAAAUGCGUAGAUAUUAGGAGGAACACCAGUGGCGAAGGCGACUCUCUGGACUGCAAAUGACGCUGAGGCACGAAAGCGUGGGGAGCGAAC